rnacentral:rRNA from 1 species
GACGAACGCUGGCGGCGUGCCUAAUACAUGCAAGUCGAACGAACCGCGACUGAGUGCUUGCACUUGGUCAAGGUGAGUGGCGAACGGGUGAGUAACACGUGGGUAACCUACCUCAUAGUGGGGGAUAACAGUCGGAAACGACUGCUAAUACCGCAUAGGACAUGGAAUCACAUGAUUCUGUGAGGAAAGGUGGCGCAAGCUAUCGCUAAGAGAUGGACCCGCGGUGCAUUAGCUAGUUGGUAGGGUAAGGGCCUACCAAGGCGAUGAUGCAUAGCCGACCUGAGAGGGUGAUCGGCCACAUUGGGACUGAGACACGGCCCAAACUCCUACGGGAGGCAGCAGUAGGGAAUCUUCCGCAAAGGACGCAAGUCUGACGGAGCAACGCCGCGUGAGUGAAGAAGGUCUUCGGAUCGUAAAGCUCUGUUGUUAGAGAAGAACAGCGCAUAGAGUAACUGUUAUGCGUGUGACGGUAUCUAACCAGAAAGCCACGGCUAACUACGUG